rnacentral:rRNA from 1 species
GUGAGGAAUAUUGCGCAAUGGGGGAAACCCUGACGCAGCAACGCCGCGUGGGUGAAGAAGGCCUUCGGGUCGUAAAGCCCUUUCGGACGGGACGAACGUCGUUCGGGGAUAAUCCGGACGGCCUGACGGUACCGUAAGAAGAAGCACCGGCUAACUCCGUGCCAGCAGCCGCGGUAAUACGGAGGGUGCAAGCGUUGUUCGGAAUUACUGGGCGUAAAGCGCGUGUAGGCGGUCUUGCAAGUCAGACGUGAAAGCCCUCGGCUUAACCGGGGAAGUGCGUCUGAAACUGCUUGACUCGAGUACGGGAGAGGGAGGCGGAAUUCCCAGUGUAGAGGUGAAAUUCGUAGAUAUUGGGAGGAACACCGGUGGCGAAAGCGGCCUCCUGGACCGAUACUGACGCUGAGACGCGAAAGCGUGGGGAGCAAACAGGAUUAGAUACCCGGGUAGUCC